rnacentral:rRNA from 1 species
UUAUACCUACGGGGCGCAGCAGUGAGGAAUAUUGGUCAAUGGCCGGAAGGCUGAACCAGCCAAGCCGCGUGAAGGACGAAGGUGCCAAGCAUUGUAAACUUCUUUUGUCAAGGGACAAAAUCAGGCUCGAGAGCCUGACCGAGGGUACUUGAAGAAAAAGCAUCGGCUAACUCCGUGCCAGCAGCCGCGGUAAUACGGAGGAUGCGAGCGUUAUCCGGAUUUACUGGGUUUAAAGGGUGCGUAGGCGGGCUGUUAAGUCAGCGGUAAAAGCCCGGGGCUCAACCCUGGCCCGCCGUUGAAACUGG